AUGUCAGUGAUACUAAAUGAAGUGCCUGAGAUCCAGCUGGCACCAUUUAUGGCAAGGUUGGGAGUGCAAAGCUAAAGGAGAGUUAUGGACUUCUCUAGGAGGGUAAAAAGCUGGAAUCCGUGUCAUACAUUUUGCAUGACAAUGCCCCUGUGCACAAAGCGAGCUCCAUGAAGACGUGGAUUGAAGAUAAGGUUGGAGUGACAGAACUUGAGUGUCCUGCAGGCUUCCCAGAAGAGUGGAGCUUAUUAUAACAGCAAAGGAGGACUAAAUCUGGAAUGGGAUUUUCAGCAACACAUACGGCUACACAUGCUACUCUUGAGAUACCAGUGAUUCUGACCCUUUCUGCUCUCCGGACCUGCCUGAUCCAUCCUCAUGCCCUACAUCUGGUUGGAGUUCACUCGCUACUGCUGGGGGUGGCCCCUCAUGGACAGCCUGAGGAUCAUUGGGAUCGCUGCUGAUGAUGCCGCUUGGGGGCUGUGGAGAUGGUUUUGGACUGCGGCAGUUGUACUGUGAUGGCUUGGGACUGUGAUUCCUGUUGUGGCUUUGGGGCUGUGGUUGACACGAGCAGUUUUGCACUCAGGUCUCCAUCAGUGGACAGUGGACAGGUUCAACAAAAUAGACUUCAUGUGAAAACUUUAAUCAAUUUCCUAGUUACACAAUAGCUCUUUUUGUCCAUGUAGUACACAGUUAUAGAAGGGAAUUAUUUAUAAUCGCACUAUCCGUGUCACCCAGAUGAGGAUGGGUUCCCUUUUGAGUCUGGUUCCUCUCAAGGUUUCUUCCUCAUGUCAUCUCAGGAAGAUUUUCCUUGCCACCGUUGCCUCUGGCUUGCUCAUUAAGGAUAAAUUCAUGAAUGUGACAAAGUCCAUUGUUAAAAGUGGUAUACAAAUAAAAUUGAAUUGAAUUGAAUGUUACUGACAAAACCCAAGUCCUCUGUCCUGAAGACCUUCCCAGGUCUUGUGUGUUUAUAUUUUGUGCAAAAGUCCUAGGACCCCUAAUUUCGUAAUACUAAUUUUGUCUUAGAUGUUCAUUUUUAUGACAUCUGCAUUAUUGGGUCAGUUUUAAAAAAAUUGUAGGUAAAUACUUCUUUAAAGAACCCCUGAGUGUAUGCUUAUUUCUUACUCCAUUAUGAUAGUACCUUACUUACCUUGUUAUAGUGCUGAUUUUAUUCUACCCAUUGCACAGAGUACUUUUUUCCCCAAAGCAUCUUUUUUUUAUGAUAUCUGUUAGAGUUGGGUGUGUUGACAGCCCUGUUUUACUGUUUUGCAUUAGUGAUCUUGGAUCUUGGAAUGAUCCAUAUUUUACUGUAGUACUACUGAACUGUGCUCUUCAGAUCAGACCAGUUCUUUAACGGGUUGUUGAGCCCACUAUUGUGAAGCUGUUGCUCUUAUUUUGUGUUGUGUUUGGUUAUUGUCUAGAAAGUAGUUGCAAUAGAUAGGUAAUUGCUCAUUAGGGAUAAAUUCACAUAUUUACAGUAUAUUUUUGUGAAUCCAUUUAUUUCUGUAAAGCUGCUUUGUGACAAUGUCCAUUGUUAAAAGCACUAUACAAAUAAAAAUGAAUUGAAUUGAAAUUGAAUAAGUUAGAUUUUGGCCAGAAUUUCCUAAUAUUUGUAGCUCAUUUACACCAUCAGAUGCAGAUGUAGCAUCACAUCAACCCCUAAAUAUGAUCAAUACAUAGUAUGUAUGUUGUUCUUUCUAGUAUGCACCCCCAUUUUUAUGCCAAUAUUUAAUUAUUAUUAUUUUUUAUAUAUAGGGUGUCGCAAAAGUUUCCAUACUUAGGGGAAAUUAACACUUUUUAGCAAAAUGUCUUCCCAACUUUUUCAUACUUAGUUUGUAUUAUAAAAUUUUUUUUCAGAGAGCCUUUAAGAAUGCCUUUGACAAAAGAAGAAUGUAUUGAAAUCAUUCUCAUGGCUGGAUCGGGAAGCUGUCACAAAGUUGCGAUGGACUUUAACAGGAAACAUGGCGAGCACAUCACACACGACCCUGUAGCCAAACUUAUUAACAAAUUCAAAAAGACUGGAAGUGUUGCGGAUCAGCGAAGAAGUGGACGUCCACGAACAUCCACUGAUGAAGGCAAACACAGUCCCCUGUGUAUGCAGACUUUUGGGACACGCUGUAUCGCUUUUAACAAUAGAUAUUCUCACAAAGCAGGUUUACAAAAUUCUCUAUAUACUGCAGAGCCACUGUGACCAGGAUAAAGCACCAGCAAACAAAACACAUUAUUCAUAUUUUUACCUUUAAAAUCUACUAAGAGAGCACAUGUUAUGACUAUGUGGUCAUUAUAUUGAACCAAACACUGCAGUUCCCUAAAAGUAGCCCCUGUGUUAUGUCCCUGUACUGUAUAUGACUCAUAUGACUCAGGUUAAUAAUCUGGUUAAUUGUUUAAUGGGAUUGAAUUAAAUAUUUAUAAAUCAUAUGCAUAACUUGCAUUAAAAAAAUUUAUAUACACAGUACUGUGCAAAAGUCUUAGGCACAUGCAAAGAAAUGCUAUAGAGCAAAGAUGCCUUCAAAAAUAAUGAAAUUAAAUGUUUCUACAUUAAAAAAUACUAUAAAGAGCAGUAAACAGUAAUAAAUGAAAAAAGUCAGUAUUUGAUGUGACGAUCCUUCACUUUUUAAAAAAAUAAAACAGUAUCUGAGGUGCAGUGUGUGCAGUUUUAUAAGGAAAUGAGCUGGAAGUGUUACUGAGCAUCUUGCAGAAGCAGCCACAGUUCUUCUGGAGACUUUGACUGUCGACUCGCUUCUUAUUUCUGCAGCGAAACCCAGCAGCCUUCAUUAUGUUUUUAUCUGAAAAGUGUCUCUUAUGGAAUCUGCUGCUUUCUUUACUGACGUACAAACAUUUUUCUGUAACAUUUCAUUUUGUGCUGGAAAACUAAUGUUUGGAAUCUAAAAUGGUUUUGUACUGAAUCAAUAAUGUAGAAGUCAGAAAAUAAACAUCUAUAACAAAGUUUGUACUAAAAAAUAGGGUGCCUAAGACCUUUGCACAGAGCUGUAUAUGUGUGUAUGUAUUUAUUGUCUGUAGCUAUUAGACACAGUAGAGUCAUUUGGAAAUUAGCAGUUUGUGUUUGAAAAUCUUCCGUUCUCAUCUGAAGUUUCAGAUGUUUACAGCUAAAUGAUAUGCAAUAUGAUAUUUUUGUUAAACUGAUGGUGUUACAUAUGGCAUGAAGAGAUAAAAUAAUGAAGAGAUGUUUGUGUAUUUUUCCUCUUACAUUGUGUAAUAUUUAAAAAGUACAUUUCAUGUAACAAAAAUCAUUAUUUUAUUUAUAAAUACACAGACGCCAAAUCAUUUUGUUUUCAUGCGAGAAAGCAAUGAGUAGUGAUGAAAACAAUCAUUUAAAAUGAAU